AUUCUUUUGUUUGGUUGGAAUUUGCUUUUUUUUUUAACUGAACGGUGUUAUGAAGAUCUUUGUAUAAUUUGUAUUCAUAUUUGGUGGACAUCUUUGAUUUUUAUAAAAUAAGAUAUUGAACCAUACUGUUCCAAUAUUGAACAUGAUGUACAUGGUGUAGUACCAUAGGUUCCAUAGUUUUGUGUAUACAUGACCUUUGUACCUCAUACAUGGGAAUGAUUAAUAGCGACUUGAAAUAAAUGAACAAUCUUCAGAGUUAAAUGCAUAGAAAGGAAACAUACCAAUGCUUGACUUUAAAGGAGAAGCAAUUAUGAAAUUGGUACAAAGGCAAUGGUCAUACAUCACAGAAGUCUCAAAACAAAGUGUACAGUAAUGUGGAGAGAAGUUCAGAACAAGCUAUUUUGUUUGAAGAGGAAUCACAGUGGUCAAGACUUAUCUUUAAAUGAAGUGGAAGUGAAGCAUUGAACAUAGUCAUGAGACAAUAAUUAAUAUUUAACUGUUAUUUCAAAGUGGAUGGAAUCUGACUAGCAUUUGUUUGACUUUUAAAACGUGGCAUUUUUUUCCAUAUGAAGACUUACAAGGCAAAGAAUUGGAUGUGACAAAAAUUUGUGUAUUUUCUAGACAUGAAGAUCUUGUACUGUCUUCUGCAGAUUUCAGGAGAAUUUGUUUUAGAUGGUAACAAGUAUAUGUAAUGAAGAAUGUUGAUUUUCUCAUUUUUUUUUGUUAUAAUAUGAUUUCAACCUUGAAUUUAUUAAAGUAAAAACAUAAAUGU